GUAUUGUAGUUCUGCUACAGCUGUAUUGUAGUUCUGCUACAGCUGUAUUGUAGUUGCGAAAGCAGCAUUUUGAACGCAGCCCAAACAAGGACACGAAUAUGGACCAGUAUGUCUUUACUUUUUUUAUUCAACCUUUGGUGCUGAGGUAUUAAUUCAGCCCAGAUCAAUUAGUUUGAAGUGUAUUUCUCGAGCGUAUCUCGAGGUGUGCCUGGUGAGCCUCCUUCGGAUGCUGGUGUCCUCAGCCCGCUGGGGAACAGGGCCCCUGGCGGGCUGGCCCCCUGACCACGGGCCCCUGACCACGGGCCCCUGACCACGGACCCCUGACCACGGGCCCCUGACCACGGCCCCCUGACCACGGGCCCCUGGCCGGCCGGCCCCUGACCACGGGCCCCUGACCACGGGCCCCUGGGCCCAGAGACGAUCUCCCCGAGGAACCUGGAGCCAGGAGCCUUCCCCUCAGCCCUCACCUCCGCGUCCCCCUGUGGAGGGGAGGGGUCUCUGUGGACGUCCUCACUGAAGGCCUACUGUAUCUGGUCCACCAUCACCUGGGGGAGCUCUCUGUAGGCCUACUGUCUCUGGUCCACCAUCACCUGGGGGGCUCUCUGUAGGCCUACUGUCUCUGAGGUCCACCAUCACCUCAGGGGGCUCUCUGUAGGCCUACUGUCUCUAGUCCACCAUCACCUCUGUAGGCCUACUGUCUCUCUGGUCCACCAUCACCUCAGGGGCUCGCUGUAGGCCUACUGUCCCUCUGGUCCACCGUCACCUCAGGGGCUCGCUGUAGGCCUACUGUCUCUGAGGUACACCGUCACCUCUGUAGGCCGUCUCAUUGUUGGCCGUGAUGCCCUGAAUGGUCAUGAGGUCAGCAAAUGUAACGACAAUAAAACACAUGAAGGCCUACCUACUUAUGAUGUAGGCCUAGCAUGUAACGAUGUAGACCUACUAACGAUGUAGAACUACCAAGUAGUGAUGUAGGACUACCAUGUAACGAUGUAGGCCUUCCAUCUAACGAUGUAGACAUAAUGUUACAAUGAAGGCCUACCAUGUCACAGUGACCUUGGGACUAAUCUUAUUAAGUCUGUACAAUAAAACAUUUAUCCUCA
ensembl:lncRNA